AGUGUGGCCCUGAUUGCUGUAGUAUAUCAGCAACGUAGAGGUAGAAGAAGUGAGAUUGGUUUGGUGCUACAGCAUGGUGGAUGGUGUCUGCAACCCACUCUUAAGAGUCCUGACUGGGAAUCUUUGGGGAUUUUCUGCUCAGUCAAUAAGGACUCUUUAGUCUUUAUGAACAAUACAAAGGUGGAUUAUUCACCAAAAAGGCCCCUUUACCUCAGGAAUUGUUUCCUUCAACUUCCUUGUGAUUUCAUGAGGCGCUAGGGGAAAUGUAUGCUGGUAUGCUUGGACACUUGUUGGAUUAUACCUGACUGGUUCAACUCACAUCACUUCAAGAUUUUAACUCCCUGGACUUCAGCUGCAAGGACUUCAACAUUGCGAACUAUCCAGAUAAGCUACCAUGUCACUUGGGAAGGGUGUUUAUUUACACAUGAUCCUUCCCAGUGGUUAAAUGAUCUGACUCCAGUGGUUACCUGCUUACGGGUGAUUUCAUAACCUGAUAUUGAUGAUUGAAUGUGUUCAUUGUUUUUCUCUUUUACAAAUUAUAUAUACUUUUGCAUCUA